GUGCUCGAGCGGUACAGCCGAAUGAAUGAAAGUGGGAUUCGUUCAUUCAUUCAUUCGACGGUAUUUACCGAGCGC